CCUACGGGCGGCAGCAGUGGGGAAUCUUCCGCAAUGGGCGAAAGCCUGACGGAGCAACGCCGCGUGAUCGAAUGAAGGCCUUCGGGUUGUAAAGCUCUGUUGACAGGGACGAAUAAGCAAUGCAAAUAGUUUUGUGUAUGACGGUACCUGUUUAGAAAGCUCCGGCUAAAAACGUGCCCGAAGCCGCGGUAAAACGUAGGGAGCCAGCGUUGACCGGAAUUAUUGGGCGUAAAGGGCGCGUGGGGGGGCGAUAAAGGCAGGAGUGAAAACUCCGGGGCCAACCCAGAGACUGCUUUUGAAACUGGUUGUCUUGAGUGCAGGAGGGGAGAGUGGAAUUCCGAGUGUAGCGGUGAAAUGCGUAGAUAUUAGGAGGAACACCAGUGGCGAAGGCGACUUUCUGGACUGUACCUGACGCUGAGGCGCGAAAGCGUGGGUAGCGAACGGGAUUAGAUACCCGUGUAGUC
rnacentral:rRNA from 1 species